AACGAACGCUGGCGGCAUGCCUAACACAUGCAAGUCGAACGAAGGCUUCGGCCUUAGUGGCGCACGGGUGCGUAACGCGUGGGGAUCUGCCCUUUGGUUCGGAAUAACAGCUGGAAACGGCUGCUAAUACCGGAUGAUGACGAAAGUCCAAAGAUUUAUCGCCAGAGGAUGAGCCCGCGUUGGAUUAGGUAGUUGGUGGGGUAAAGGCCUACCAAGCCGACGAUCCAUAGCUGGUCUGAGAGGAUGAUCAGCCACACUGGGACUGAGACACGGCCCAGACUCCUACGGGAGGCAGCAGUGGGGAAUAUUGGACAAUGGGCGCAAGCCUGAUCCAGCAAUGCCGCGUGAGUGAUGAAGGCCCUAGGGUUGUAAAGCUCUUUUAACCGGGAAGAUAAUGACUGUACCGGGAGAAUAAGCCCCGGCUAACUCCGUG
rnacentral:rRNA from 1 species